rnacentral:rRNA from 1 species
CCUACGGGUGGCAGCAGUGAGGAAUAUUGGCCAAUGGACGAGAGUCUGAACCAGCCAAGUAGCGUGAAGGAUGACUGCCCUAUGGGUUGUAAACUUCUUUUAUAUGGGAAUAAAAUGUUCCACGUGUGGGAUUUUGUAUGUACCAUAUGAAUAAGGAUCGGCUAACUCCGUGCCAGCAGCCGCGGUAAUACGGAGGAUCCGAGCGUUAUCCGGAUUUAUUGGGUUUAAAGGGAGCGUAGGUGGAUUGUUAAGUCAGUUGUGAAAGUUUGCGGCUCAACCGUAAAAUGGCAGUUGAAACUGGCAGUCUUGAGUACAGUAGAGGUGGGCGGAAUUCGUGGUGUAGCGGUGAAAUGCUUAGAUAUCACGAAGAACUCCGAUUGCGAAGGCAGUUCACUGGACUGCAACUGACACUGAGGCUCGAAAGUGUGGGUAUCAAACAGGAUUAGAUACCCGUGUAGUC